GUGGUUUAAUUCGACGCAACGCGCAGAACCUUACCAGGUCUUGACAUCCCGAUGCUAUUUCUAGAGAUAGAAAGUUACUUCGGUACAUCGGUGACAGGUGGUGCAUGGUUGUCGUCAGCUCGUGUCGUGAGAUGUUGGGUUAAGUCCCGCAACGAGCGCAACCCCUAUUGUUAGUUGCCAUCAUUCAGUUGGGCACUCUAGCGAGACUGCCGGUAAUAAACCGGAGGAAGGUGGGAUGACGUCAAAUCAUCAUGCCCCUUAUGACCUGGGCUACACACGUGCUACAAUGGUUGGUACAACGAGUUGCGAGUCGGUGACGGCGAGCUAAUCUCUUAAAGCCAAUCUCAGUUCGGAUUGUAGGCUGCAACUCGCCUACAUGAAGUCGGAAUCGCUAGUAAUCGCGGAUCAGCACGCCGCGGUGAAUACGUUCCCGGGUCUU
rnacentral:rRNA from 1 species